rnacentral:rRNA from 1 species
UACGUAGGGUGCGAGCGUUGCCCGGAAUUAUUGGGCGUAAAGGGUGCGUAGGCGGUUUGGUAAGUCUGAUGUGAAAUCUAUGGGCUCAACUCAUAGUCUGCAUCGGAAACUGCCGGGCUUGAGUGUGGGAGAGGUGAGUGGAAUUCCUGGUGUAGCGGUGAAAUGCGCAGAUAUCAGGAAGAACACCCGUGGCUAAGGCGGUUCUCUAGUACGGUACUGACGCUGAGACGCGAAAGCGUGGGGAGCGAACAGG